rnacentral:rRNA from 1 species
UAAGGAAUAUUGGACAAUGGACGAAAGUCUGAUCCAGCCAUGCCGCGUGAAGGAUUAAGGUCCUCUGGAUUGUAAACUUCUUUUAUAUGGGGCGAAAAAAGGGCAUUCUUGCUCACUUGACGGUACCAUAUGAAUAAGCACCGGCUAACUCCGUGCCAGCAGCCGCGGUAAUACGGAGGGUGCAAGCGUUAUCCGGAUUUACUGGGUUUAAAGGGUGCGUAGGCUGAUAGGUAAGUCAGUGGUGAAAUCCUGGAGCUUAACUCCAGAACUGCCAUUGAUACUAUCUAUCUUGAAUAUUGUGGAGGUUUGCGGAAUAUGUCAUGUAGCGGUGAAAUGCUUAGAUAUGACAUGGAACACCUAUUGCGAAGGCAGCAGGCUACACAUAUAUUGACGCUGAGGCACGAAAGCGUGGGGAUCAAACAGGAUUAGAUACCCUGGUAGUCCACGCCCUAAACGAUGAUUACUCGACAUACGCGAUACACUGUGUGUGUCUGAGCGAAAGC